rnacentral:rRNA from 1 species
CCUACGGGUGGCAGCAGUGAGGAAUAUUGGUCAAUGGACGGAAGUCUGAACCAGCCAAGUCGCGUGCAGGAUGACGGCUCUAUGAGUUGUAAACUUCUUUUGUACGGGAAUAAUAGUCGUUACGUGUAGCGCUUUGAAUGUACCGUACGAAUAAGCAUCGGCUAACUCCGUGCCAGCAGCCGCGGUAAUACGGAGGAUUCGAGCGUUAUCCGGAUUUAUUGGGUUUAAAGGGUGCGUAGGCUGGUGGAUAAGUUAGCGGUCAAAUUUCGGGGCUUAACCCCUUGCCUGCCGUUGAUACUGUUCGACUAGAGAGCGGAUGAAGCAGGCGGAAUGAGUGGUGUAGCGGUGAAAUGCAUAGAUAUUACUCAGAACUCCGAUUGCGAAGGCAGCUUACUAGUGCGCAACUGACGCUGAUGCACGAAAGCGUGGGUAGCGAACAGGAUUAGAUACCCCAGUAGUC